ensembl:snRNA U6 U6 spliceosomal RNA
UUGCUUCAGCAGCGCAUAUACUAAAUUUGGAAUGAUACAGAGAUAAUUAGCAUGGCCCCUGUGCAAGGAUGACACAGAAAUUCACGAAGCUUCAUUUUU